AUGGAUACUCUAUGCUGGAAUUGUCGCGGGUUAGGCGAUCCCGCGACAGUUCAUGAGUUGCACGUUCUAGCGCGGGAGUGUGCUUCGGCGAUAUUAUGUGUGGUGGAAACUCAGCUUGUAAAAUAUUGCAUGGAAGGAUUGGCCGGAACUUUGGGUUAUGAUCAUGCUUAUGGAGCGGGGAGUAGUGGAAGAAGAGGUGGGCUAUGUGUUUAUUGGAAAAAAAACCCUUGUGCUGGAAUUGAGAAUUUUCUCUAA
rnacentral:rRNA from 1 species